rnacentral:pre_miRNA from 1 species
CAAAUACAUCCCCCCCCCCUGUUUUUCUUUUUUUUAACUAACGUGAUCGCAAAACAUUUUUAUAAAAAAAAAAAAAAACAGGGGGGGAUGUAUUGUAC